rnacentral:rRNA from 1 species
GGUAACAGGGGUAGCUUGCUACCCGCUGACGAGCGGCGGACGGGUGAGUAAUGCAUAGGAAUUUACCCGAUAGUGGGGGAUAACCUGGGGAAACCCAGGCUAAUACCGCAUACGUCCUACGGGAGAAAGGGGGCUUCGGCUCCCGCUAUCGGAUGAGCCUAUGUCGGAUUAGCUGGUCGGUGAGGUAAUGGCUCACCAAGGCGACGAUCCGUAGCUAGUCUGAGAGGAUGAUCAGCCACAUCGGGACUGAGACACGGCCCGAACUCCUACGGGAGGCAGCAGUGGGGAAUAUUGGACAAUGGGGGCAACCCUGAUCCAGCCAUGCCGCGUGUGUGAAGAAGGCCCUCGGGUUGUAAAGCACUUUCAGUGAGGAAGAACGCCUGAUGGUUAAUACCCGUCAGGAAAGACAUCACUCGCAGAAGAAGCACCGGCUAACUCCGUGCCAGCAGCCGCGGUAAUACGGAGGGUGCAAGCGUUAAUCGGAAUUACUGGGCGUAAAGCGCGCGUAGGUGGCUUGAUAAGCCGGUUGUGAAAGCCCCGGGCUCAACCUGGGAACGGCAUCCGGAACUGUCAGGCUAGAGUGCAGGAGAGGAAGGUAGAAUUCCCGGUGUAGCGGUGAAAUGCGUAGAGAUCGGGAGGAAUACCAGUGGCGAAGGCGGCCUUCUGGACUGACACUGACACUCAGAUGCGAAAGCGUGGGGAGCAAACAGGAUUAGAUACCCUGUUAGUCCACGCCGUAAACGAUGUCUACUUGGAGG